ACAGCAGCCGCGGUAAUACGUAGGCAGCGAGCGUUGUUCGGAGUUACUGGGCGUAAAGGGUGCGUAGGCGGUUCUUUAAGUUUGGUGUGAAAUCUCCCGGCUCAACUGGGAGGGUGCGCCGGAUACUGAAGGACUAGAGUGCGGGAGGGGAGAGUGGAAUUCCUGGUGUAGCGGUGAAAUGCGUAGAUAUCAGGAGGAACACCUGUGGUGCAAACGGCUCUCUGGACCGUAACUGACGCUGAGGCACGAAAGCGUGGGGAGCAAACAGGAUUAGAUACCCUGGUAGUCCACGCCCUAAACGAUGCACGUUUGGUGUGGGUGAUUCAGUUCAUCCGUGCCGGAGCUAACGCGUUAAACGUGCCGCCUGGGGAGUACAGUCGCAAGGCUGAAACUCAAAGGAAUUGACGGGGGCCCGCACA
rnacentral:rRNA from 1 species